UAGCUAAGUGACUUACUAGUGGAUUAACCACAUCUCAUGUAGAGUUUGCUCUCUGGACCUCUAUGUAUUUCUACUUGAGGUAGUCGUAUAUACUGUUGCUUUAUGUAUUUGAUUAUCUGGUGAGAUCUAGGCUCCUUAGCAAGGGCUAUGGUGUCAUUGUCUUUGCAGUAUAGUAUCAUGACAUCUAAUGGCAUGACAUCCAGUUCUGCAACUAUCAUUAGAACCAAAAUGCAUCCUACACAUCUACAAUGUACUCAGCUUCCAUCGAUC
rnacentral:lncRNA from 1 species